GACGAACGCUGGCGGCGUGCUUAACACAUGCAAGUCGAACGGAAAGGCCCUGCUUUUGUGGGGUGCUCGAGUGGCGAACGGGUGAGUAACACGUUAGUAACCUGCCCUUUACUUUGUGAUAACUUCAGGAAACUGGGGCUAAUACCGGAUAGGAGCUCCUGCUGCAUGGUGUGGGUUGGACAGUUUCGGCGGUUGGGGAUGGACUCGCGGCUUAUCAGCUUGUUGGUGGGGUAGUGGCUUACCAAGGCUUUGACGGGUAGCCGGCCUGAGAGGGUGACCGGACAAAUUGGGACUGAGAUACGGACCAGACUCCUACGGGAGGCAGCAGUGGGGAAUAUUGCACAAUGGGCGGAAGCCUGAUGCAGAAACGACGCGGGCGGGAUGACGGCCUUCGGGUUGUAAACCGCUUUCGCAUGUGACGAAGAGUGAGUGACGGUAAUGGGUAAAGAAGCACCGGCUAACUACGUG
rnacentral:rRNA from 1 species